rnacentral:rRNA from 1 species
AUACGUAGGGUGCAAGCGUUAAUCGGAAUUACUGGGCGUAAAGCGUGCGCAGGCGGUUUUGUUAGACAGAGGUGAAAUCCCCGGGCUCCACCUGGGAACUGCCUUUGUGACUGCAAGGCUAGAGUACGGCAGAGGGGGAUGGAAAUUCGGGGGUAGGAGCGAAAUGCGUAGAUAUGCGGAGGAACAACGAUGGCGAAGGCAAUCCCCUGGGCCUGUACUGACGCUCAUGCACGAAAGCGUGGGGAGCAAACAGGAUUAGAUACCCUGGUAGUCCACGCCCUAAACGAUGUCAACUGGUUGUUGGGUCUUCAUUGACUCAGUAACGAAGCUAACGCGUGAAGUUGACCGCCUGGGGAGUACGGCCGCAAGGUUGAAACUCAAAUGAAUUGACGGGGG